GGGGGCGUAAAGCUUUACCAUUUCCAAGAAAACUCCGAAUACGUAUAGAUAGAAAAAGCAGACAGGCUUUGGGCGCAAAGGUGCAGAGCCAAAAGGGAAAAAGCCCAGAUUCUCAGUUAAGGUCUUAAAUCUCUUUCUAAGUGUGAAAGGAGCAACACGAGUGAAAUCAAUUUCGAGGUGGGCUUAGAGGCAGCCAAUCCGCAGAGGAAAGCGUAACAGCUCAUUGAUUUAACCGUGGUUGACCAAAAAUGUAACGAGUCUCAAGAAAGAAACCGAAACUAGAAAAAUAAAAAUUUGGUAGGAGAGCGUUGUGUGUGUCGUAGGGUUAUACCCAUUGUAAGAUCAUUUUUUAAAAUAGAUCGGAGACCUCACAAGUGACUAUGCUGAUAUUAGUAACGUAAAAUCAUGUGAAAAACAUGAUCACCGAAACUUCAAGGUUUUCUGUGAAAAGUAAAUCUGCACAGAGUUAAACGGCCCCUAAGAGAACCCCGAAAGGGCUCCUCGAUGGGAAAGU
rnacentral:rRNA from 1 species